CGACGUGAUCAUUUGUUUCAAUAUAGGCCAAAGUUCAAAAAUGGACAUUUCACCAUAACUUCUGUCCAAAUCAUCGUAUCAACUUCCAACCAAAGUCAAAUUGUGCAGUUUUCCAUUCUG